rnacentral:misc_RNA from 1 species
UUUAGCAUGACAGUAUUCUUCAGUUUUCUUUUGAGAAUUAGGGAACUGUAAGAUUUGAGACAAGUUACAACUUCUCAAAAUCAGUUAAAGAUAAUAUAUAGAUGUGUAGAAAAAAAGCAUAAUAUAUAUUGUAGUAAAGAUAUUUUAUUAUGAUUAGAGUGGUAAACAUGUAAAGAAUAACAAAUACAUGAUGUUUAUAAACUAGAGAAUAAAGAUCUAGUUCUCUCUAACUCUGUAUAUCUAUAAUAUAACAAUAUGAGCUAAAUUAUGGAAUCUAGAUACUAAAUACUGUUGUAACCAUGCAUGUGCUGGACACUUUGCCUAAAACUUUAUCAAACAAUUAAGAAUAGUAGUAAAAGAAAAGAUAUUGGGUUAAAUUAAAAUAAUGACUGCAAUAUUAAAAGUGACAGUGUGAAAUGAACUAACACACAUCUAAUAGAGAGAG